CUAAAUAAUCUUCAACGAAAUGUGAUUAGCAUCUUGUUAUCGAUAUCAUACAGUACUUAACGCAUUUUGUAAUACUUUCCAGUUUAUUACUGAGUUAAGAAUUAAUUCAAUUCGGCAAAGUAGAUCAGACAGAGUUUUAUGACAUGCCCUAACUGUUGUCUCUUUCAUCGCGUUCCUUUUGUUUAGAGAGAGCACCUACAUUGUACGUCGGAUGCUGGUGAUUCCGAACUUCGUAUACUCGGUUAUUUAUUAUUUUAACUGCAGAGGUAAUUUGUUUAAUUUCAAAUGCAAUAACUGUUAAAACAUCACUUUUUUAAUACACCGUUUAUCACGCUUGUGGCUGCUGUGCGUCCUCUGCAUCUACUCUCAAGGUAAUGGGGAACUGGAUUCAGUCUCAGCAGUUUGCAAGACAGGUAGCAACUCUAGACAAAACGUCAGCUCAUCGUCGGGAACAGUUAUGCAUAUGAUACAAAAUAUUUCAGGAAGCAUCAUGUCCAUGGCAAGAAAUAAUGCUGUUUUACUGGAUUACCAGAUGAUUGACAACUGUAACAUCUGUGAUGUUACUUCAGGUGUCCAUCCACCUGGACCUACCUCUUCCUUCCAGACGAACAUAUAACCAGAAGUUCAGCCAUUUUGAAAUCAGUUCACUGUGGAACUCCUGUCUGAAAAGACAUUCCUUGCAAUUAUUGCUUGUUUUCUGCUUUUCAGUUAUAUGGGGUCACUGGCUGGUGCCAUAACUCUUUAUCAUAGUCUGUCUAAUCUCUUACACCUUCUAUGUAAAACAGGCGCUUUAAAGGAAGUGUGCAUGUGCUUCUAGCAACAAUAUGGGAUUGCAUGAGACCAUCUUCAGGUCCAUGACGAAGGCAUGAGCAUACAAAUAACAAUACAUAUGUACACAGUAGAAAUUAAAAAAAAAAAAAAAUUGAAAUCCUAAAUAUCCUUCAAAACUAGACAGAAAUGAGCAAAGGAUCUUACUGGUUUUAAAUCCUUUUGAAGCUAUCAAAAAAUACAAAUCCAUAUUCAGUACAAUGCAUAAUGAAAGUGUUUUCUUUGUUAUUCAUGACUUUGCUUAUUUGUUCAUCAAACUAGAGCCUCAGGAAAGUAAGAGCACCAGCCCAUCUCAGUUUAUUCACACACAUAUUUAUCCAUAUCAUUAGAAAAAAUAUUUGCUGAUUAAAAGCAUCACAUGACCAAGGACUGUUUAAGGAAAUUAGGGAUGUCCCAAAGUUCCCAGUUUUUGUUGAUAGGUUACUAUCAUAUGUGAUUUCAUAGCAAAGGGUCUGUAUAUGUGUGUCAAUGGGAUAUUUCACUUCUGUCUUUUAAAUAAAUUUGCAAAAAUUUCUAAAAUCUUGUUUUUGCUUUGUCAUUC